CAGUCGCCGCGGGAAUACGAAGGGGGCUAGCGUUGUUCGGAAUUACUGGGCGUAAAGCGUACGUAGGCGGUUAUGUAAGUGAGAUGUGAAAUCCCCGGGCUCAACCUGGGAACUGCAUCUUAUACUGCGUAGCUGGAGUGCAGUAGAGGGUAGUGGAAUUUCCGGUGUAGCGGUGAAAUGCGUAGAUAUCGGAAGGAACACCAGUGGCGAAGGCGGCUACCUGGACUGACACUGACACUGAGGCGCGAAAGCGUGGGGAGCAAACAGGAUUAGAUACCCGAGUAGUCCCUGUCUCUUAUAC
rnacentral:rRNA from 1 species